rnacentral:rRNA from 1 species
CACGUAGGGGGCAAGCGUUGUCCGGAUUUAUUGGGCGUAAAGAGCUCGUAGGUGGUUCGGUAAGUCGGGUGUUAAACCCCCAGGCUCAACCUGGGGACGCCACUCGAUACUGCUGUGACUAGAGUCCGGUAGGGGAGCGUGGAAUUCCUGGUGUAGCGGUGAAAUGCGCAGAUAUCAGGAGGAACACCAGCGGCGAAGGCGGCGCUCUGGGCCGGUACUGACGCUGAUGAGCGAAAGCGUGGGGAGCAAACAGG